rnacentral:tRNA from 1 species
GCCCGGAUGGUGAAACUGGUAGACACAACGGACUUAAAAUCCGUCGGGAGGAAACUCCUGUGCCGGUUCGAUUCCGGCUCCGGGCACCA